UGCAAGUCGAGCGACCGGUACGAGUAGACUUGCUUCUCGGAUGUUAACGCCUGACAGCUGACUAACAUCUGAAGAACCUACCUAUGAAACUGAGAUUACUUCGGUAAACCCCAUCUAAUACAGAAAAAUAUUUUAAACCGAAUGGCUCACAUGUGAAUAAAGGUCUUGCGGUCUCUUAUAGAUGGAUCCGCGCUGCAUUAGCUAGUUGGUAAAGUAACGGCUUACCAAGGCAACGAUGCAUAGCCGACCUGAGAGGGUGAUCGGCCACACUGGAACUGAGACACGGUCCAGACUCCUACGGGAGGCAGCAGUAGGGAAUCUUCCGCAAUGGGCGAAAGCCUGACGGAGCAACGCCGCGUGAGUGAUGAAGGUCUUCGGAUCGUAAAACUCUGUUAUUAGGGAAGAACAUAUGUGUAAGUAACUGUGCACAUCUUGACGGUACCUAAUCAGAAAGCCACGGCUAACUACGUGCCAGCAGCCGCGGUAAUACGUAGGUGGCAAGCGUUAUCCGGAAUUAUUGGGCGUAAAGCGCGCGUAUGCGGUUUUUUAAAUCUGAUGUGAAAACCCCCGGCUCAACCGUGGAGGGUCAUUGGAAACUGGAAAACCUUGAGUGCGGAAG
rnacentral:rRNA from 1 species